CAUAGAGCGUAUUCACCACUGCCUGAGAACCCACUAAGUUCACCUGACGGCCUCAGGCAGAGACGGACUUUGACACGAACCGGCGGGACUUGGUUUCCUGCUGGCUAUCCCACGAAGUUCUAAGACAGUGGAGGUAGUGUCGUGUGAAGACACAGUGGAGUGCCAGUUUCCCGCUACAACAGUGCCAGGUUUGUGUUGAUCUUUGCUCAGAAGACCGAAUUUUCUGCAGUUACUGAAGAUGACAAGCGUCUACCUAUUGGUGGUCCUAAUCCUUCACACAUUAAAUACAUCCAGGUGACUGUCACACACUAGUAAACUAUUUUGUAGACUCGUGGGAACCAGACAACCACGAGCACCUGAGGUAGUCUGGAACACACUGUAUUUCCCACAAGUUUCACAUUAGAAACUAUCAGAAGUAACACCAAUGAUA